rnacentral:lncRNA from 1 species
CGUCCGCCUCUAUGUUUACAAGUUUUUUGAUACAUCCCGUUCUUAAAAAUGUAUUUGGCAAUUUUUCUCUUUUUAAGACUUAAUUUACGUGUAUAUAUACACUUUUCACCUAUUUAUUGUUUCAGAUAAAGGAUUCCCAUCUUGUUCCUUAUCCUGCUUAAUUGUGCACAUCCUUUAGCUCUAAGCCUGUGAAAUAUCUUUUUUAUACUUUAAUUUGUUAUUGUAUCCAAGUUUUUAGCUAAAACACUAUUAGAGCCAAUAGUAUUCUUAUAACUGCUUAAUCUGCAUUUAAAUAAAUGAAUACUUGUAUUUAUG